rnacentral:rRNA from 1 species
AGGACAAACGCUGGCGGAAUGUAUUAGGCAUGCAAGUCGUACGAACCUUCGGGUUAGUGGCGAACGGGUGAGUAACACGUGGGUAACCUGCCUCGUAGUGGGGAAUAACUCGCCGAAAGGCGAGCUAAUACCGCAUAACACCCCUGGUGAGAUUCCGGGUGGUAAAAGCUCCGGCGCUACGAGAGGGGCCCGCGGUCGAUUAGCUAGUUGGUGGGGUAAAGCCUACCAAGGCGACGAUCGAUAGCUGGUCUGAGAGGAUGGUCAGCCACACGGGGACUGAGAUACGGCCCCGACUCCUACGGGAGGCAGCAGCUAAGAAUCUUGCGCAAUGGGCGAAAGCCUGACGCAGCAAUUCCGCGUGGGGGACGAAGGCCCUCGGGGUCGUAAAACCCCUUUUACGGAACGGGAAGAAGUUCCUGACGGUACCUCGGUGAAUAAGACACGGCUAACUACGUGCCAGCAGCCG